AGCGGGGGCAGUGCUGUGCGUGCGUUCGGUUUACAGAGGAGCCGUGGCCCCUCGCAGGAGCGGCUCGCUUGCUCUACUUCUGCGCAGGGUUCUCCUGCCGGCCAGUGGAGCCUUGGAACGUCAAAGCAUGAGACCCUCCACCACCAAGAGCUUGAAUGAGGAUACAAAAGUCAUUUUACGUCUCUUUGCCUUUUCUGUGUUUCACAGAGAAAAUGACAAUGGCAGAUUCAAGAACGAGGAUGUCUGAGCCAGGAAUGAAAAGGCAGAUGACAUACCUUUGGAUAUGCAAAGCUCGGUCUCCAACCUUGUCCCUAAACUGAGUGUGGAAUUGGAUCUACCCUAUAACUG
rnacentral:lncRNA from 1 species